GUGCCAGCAGCCGCGGUAAUACAGAGGGUGCAAGCGUUACUCGGAAUUACUGGGCGUAAAGCGCGCGUAGGCGGAUCGCUAAGUCAGGGGUGAAAUCCCAGGGCUCAACCCUGGAACUGCCUUUGAUACUGACGGUCUGGAGAUCGGGAGAGGUUGGUGGAAUUCCGAGUGUAGAGGUGAAAUUCGUAGAUAUUCGGAGGAACACCAGAAGCGAAGGCGGCCAACUGGCCCGAUACUGACGCUGAGGCGCGAAAGCGUGGGGAGCAAACAGGAUUAGAUACCCCGGUAGUCCUAGCCGUAAACGGUGAUCACUAGGUGUUGGAGGCAUCGACCCCUCCAGUGCCGCAGCUAACGCAUUAAGUGAUCCGCCUGGGGAGUACGGCCGCAAGGUUGAAACUCAAAGGAAUUGACGG
rnacentral:rRNA from 1 species